UUUGUACUCCCUCCGUCCCAAAAUUCUUGUCUUAAAUUUAUCUAAAUACGGAUGUAUCUAGUUACAUUUUAGUGUUAGAUACAUCCAUAUCUAAACAAAUGUAAGACAAGAAUUUUGGGACGGAGGGAAUACUAC
rnacentral:pre_miRNA from 1 species